rnacentral:lncRNA from 1 species
AAUCAAGGCAAGAUUAUAAAAAACUUUGAAGAUAUAAUAAAAAGAUUAACAAAAAAGGAGACAUUAAAUAAUAAAGGAAAUUAAAAAAUUGAUUGGUUACUUCCUUCGCUGCAUACGAACACCUUGAUUGGCCAGCUGCCGUGGCUAGGCAACCAGGCGGAGAAUCUUUGGAACAAGUAGCAGACUUCAUCACAGCAGGAGCCGUGAGGCAAGAAGCUCUGGGAUCAAUUAAAAUGCCAGGCUUUUCCAGGCUGGUUUCCAGCGCAUCUGUGCAUGAUUCCACAUAAAUUUAGGGAAUUAGAGAUCAGACAAAGUUAUAAGACAGCUGUUGAUGUCCCACUCACCAGUUAGGAGGAUUGAGAAGAAGCUGCUUUCCAGGAAAUCCCAGUCGACUUCCAGAUAGAUCUCUUUGGUCAAAAAUGUGUCACAGCUCCAACUCUUUUUUUGUAAGAUGGUGAACACAGGCAGGGGCCACAUCUGACUUACCUCUAGCUCCAGGUACUAAAGAGCCACUGGGGAGAGCUCAGUCAUGUAAUCCAAUACUAUCUAAACAUGAACUACGGAGUCCCCAUCCAAGGCACUGAAUGAGAACAUCUGGAACACUCAAUAAAUAUUUCAUCAACAAAUAAAUGAGGGCUUUAAUUUACCAUUUCCUUUUUUCUUUGAGAAGCCA